GACGUAGGGCGCGAGCGUUGUCCGGAUUUAUUGGGCGUAAAGAGCUCGUAGGCGGCUUGUCGCGUCGUCCGUGAAAACUUGGGGCUCAACCCCAAGCUUGCGGUCGAUACGGGCAGGCUCGAGUUCGGUAGGGGAGACUGGAAUUCCUGGUGUAGCGGUGAAAUGCGCAGAUAUUAGGAGGAACACCGGUGGCGAAGGCGGGUCUCUGGGCCGAUACUGACGCUGAGGAGCGAAAGCGUGGGGAGCGAACAGG
rnacentral:rRNA from 1 species